GGAAAGCUUUACAGUAAGCCUUCAGAAAAUGUAAUCAUCUUUAGGGAGUGCAUAGAGGAGCAGUAUGCUCAUUAUAAUUUCUUGAUGUAUCUUAACAGGUACUACAAGAUUCUUAUGUAAAGUUUGCAAGGGAUCACUAUGCAAAUGUAUGUCAGGAUGUAUAUAAGACCGAGUUACCGAGCAAUUUGUAUCAGACCUUAUCAGCUUUGAUCAGCUCCUUCGUCAAAUUUGCCAGAGCUGCUCACUCUGAAGUCCAGUUGUUUCUGAUGCUUCGAGCGUCUUCUCUCAUCAAAGUUCUCCCAUCCUUCAAUCUGGCUGAUAACAUCUAUAGUUAUUUCAGUUCCAUGGAGAUCUAGUGUAGAGAGUUGACAGCACUGUUUAAAAAUGCUGCUAGGAAGGGAUUUGAGCCCGUUGUUCCUAAGAUAAAGUGCCUUUAAGUCCUUUAUUUUGCUAAUUGUUUCUGGCAGCUCUACCAAAAGAUUAGAUGAAAGAUCAACCUCAAUAAGAGAAACACAAUCCCCUAUACUUUCCGGAAUAGAGUGUAUCCUGUUGUUGUUAACUUUCAGAACCUCAAGGCUGGUCAGCAGACCUAUCUCAGAUGGGAGACCUGUUAACUCGUUAUGUGCAAUAUGAAGUUGUUUCAGACUGGUUAAAGUGCCGACCUCAGGAGGCAGUGUUGCUAUGUGGUUUUGGUUCAGUGAAAUAACCAUUAGACUCUUUAGAGAAGCUAGCUCUUCCCAGCUUAAGGAAUUAUCCAUAAUUUCAUUCCCAUUGAGUAUCAAUUUCUGAAGAGAACUCAAGCUAUUAAUUGUGGCUGGAAGAUGCUGUAUGGCGUUGUGGCUGAGAUCAAGGACUCUAGCGGAAGGUCCGCAGUUCAACACUUCAUCAGGCAGGACCUUCAGAUUGCAUUCUGAUAAUGCAACAACCCCGGUGGCCUUCCACCGUUCAAGUUGGCUCUUCACAACAGGAACUUGAGGAACAUCCCUUUUAGGUCUCAUAGCUUCAGGCAUCCUCCUCGCUGUGGGAAAGUUGGAAGCUUCCUUUCUUAUUGGUCCAUCCCCUUGAUGUAAGCCCUGGGAAGCCAUAAGCAUGAUCUUCGCACCAUUUCCGACCUCCG
rnacentral:misc_RNA from 1 species